ACCGGCGCACGGGUGAGUAACAGGUAUCCAACCUCCUGCUUACUGGGGAAUAGCCUAUCGAAAGAAAGAUUAAUCCCCGAUGGUAUAAAGAGUUGGCUUGUUCUCUUUCUUAAUAAUUAUCGGUUAGAGAUGGGCAUGCGUUCCAUUAGAUUGUUGGUGAGGUAACGGCCCACCAAGUCUACGAUGGAUAGGGGUUGUGAGAGGAAGGUCCCCCACAUUGGAACUGAGACACGGUCCAAACUCCUACGGGAGGCAGCAGUGAGGAAUAUUGGUCAAUGGACGAGAGCCUGAACCAGCCAAGUAGCGUGAAGGAAGACUGCCCUAUGGGUUGUAAACUUCUUUUAUAAGGGAAUAAAGUGAGGGACGUGUCCCUUUUUGUAUGUACCUUAUGAAUAAGGAUCGGCUAACUCCGUGCCAGCAGCCGCGGUAAUACGGAGGAUCCAAGCGUUAUCCGGAUUUAUUGGGUUUAAAGGGAGCGUAGGUUGACAUAUAAGUCAGCUGUGAAAGUUUACGGCUCAACCGUGAAAUUGCAGUUGAUACUGUAUGUCUUGAGUGUACAAGAGGUGGGCGGAAUUCGUGGUGUAGCGGUGAAAUGCUUAGAUAUCACGAAGAACUCCAAUUGCGAAGGCAGCUCACUGGGGUACAACUGACACUGAGGCUCGAAAGUGUGGGUAUCAAACAGGAUUAGAUACCCUGGUAGUCCACACA
rnacentral:rRNA from 1 species